UUACUCUUCAAUAUAACCUUAGGUGAGUAGAAACCAGCUGGAUUUGUGGUAUUUCCAGCUCUUAGGAUUUGAUGGAUUUCCAUGAGUAAAAACCUGCCCUUAGGAUUUGAUGGAUUUCCAUGAGUAGAAACCUGAUUGUAAUUGAUUUAUUUCCAGCCUUUGGGAUUAAAUGAAUUUCUAUAAGUAGAAACCUGGCUGGAUUUGAUGUAUUUCCAGCUCAUGGAAUUUGAUUGCUGGAACUAAUGUAUUUCCAGUCCUUGGGAUUUGAUGGAUUUCCAUUAGAAGAAACCUGGCUGGAACCCAAUCCUAAGCAGAUAUCCAUGUACUCACACAAGCACAAGAGUGAGAAUUGGACUCAAGAAAUGGAAAAUUUGAUGUUGCCUAUGUAUACAUCUUGAACCCAUUCUUGCAGUAUGGAGUGACCAAGUCACUUCUUUCUCCAGGAACAAUGAGGCAAUACUAUCUUUUUCUUCUGUUGUUUAAAUCUCCAAACUCUAGUUUUCUAUCCAUUUCUAAUGUGGAUUUUCACAAAGAAGGUUCAGAAAGAUCACUGUUCAUGGCAUUUCAGCAGAAUCUCAUAGAGCAGCCCUAUCCUGCCAUUUGGACUUCAAAUUGAAGAUAGCUUUUUUCUCAAAUCGAAGAAAGUUGUUUGUCAUUCCCGAAGAAUGGAACAGGUUUGUGAAAGAGAGAGAGAGUUGAAAGCUAAUAAUCGAUGCAACCACAAAGGGCGAAGAAAGAGAUGAUAUAUCGUUAUAGAGUGACGAUAUGGCGUUACAACUUGGCUGGGAACAGAAACCUUGGAUUAUGUUAAAUAGUGGAAGAAGGCAGGUAGUGUUUUGCUGUCUAUUGGAGGAUAGGAAAUAAGAAACAGCAAAGUUUUUUUUAUGAUUUAUUUAUUUAUUUUUGUAAAGAAGCUCAAGCUAGGGUUUGCUGAAAUCCAGGCCCUAAUGAUCUUUAAUUAGAUAACCAUCAUUACACAUGAUAUUUGUGGAAAGUUAAGACAAAA